rnacentral:lncRNA from 1 species
GUUGAGAGAUGAGAACUUGUUUGUGCCUUGCAUAACUUGUUUAAAGCAGAGAUUUGAGAUUCAUUUUUCGGUUCUGAGGUGGCUGUUAGUUACACUGGCUAAGUAAUUUGUAGGAUUUUGAACAGAGUUAAUUAAAAACAUUAAAAAAUGCAGAAUGCUUAAACAAACUGAAAUGUGUCAAAUAUUAAAAGACCAAAUGCUUAAUUUAUGAAUAACACCGAAUUUUGAUGCUGACUUCUUUGAGGAUGAUUGUUUUUGUCAGUGGACAGUUGGAAUAGAGCAGAAUACCCGUUCAAGACUGUCAUCAAAAACACAUAAAUGUUUCAUUCUAAUUUUAACCCUCUAUUUCAUCUAACCCU